rnacentral:rRNA from 1 species
CAGCGCGCGGGAAUACAGAGGGUGCGAGCGUUAAUCGGAUUUACUGGGCGUAAAGCGUGCGUAGGCGGCUUCUUAAGUCGGAUGUGAAAUCCCUGAGCUUAACUUAGGAAUUGCAUUCGAUACUGGGAAGCUAGAGUAUGGGAGAGGAUGGUAGAAUUCCAGGUGUAGCGGUGAAAUGCGUAGAGAUCUGGAGGAAUACCGAUGGCGAAGGCAGCCAUCUGGCCUAAUACUGACGCUGAGGUACGAAAGCAUGGGGAGCAAACAGGAUUAGAUACCCCCGUAGUCCCUGUCUCUUAUACAC